rnacentral:rRNA from 1 species
UGGUGGAGCGAUUUGUCUGGUUAAUUCCGAUAACGAACGAGACUCUGGCCUGUUAAAUAGUUCGCCGAUUCCGAUCUGUCGGCGUUAACUUCUUAGAGGGACAAGUGGCUUUUAGCCACGCGAGAUUGAGCAAUAACA